rnacentral:rRNA from 1 species
AGGGAAAAAGCCCAGACUUCCAUCUAAGGUCUCUAAAUAAAAGCUAAGUUUUGAAGGAAGUCAAAAUUCAUAGACAACCAGGAUGUUGGCUUUCAAUUUUCAUUGAAUUUUCAUUUGUCCAAUUUUUAAAAUUAAAAACAUUUGAGAUUUGAUUAGAAAUUAGAAAUUAGAAAUUAGAAAUUCUCGCGUAGCGCGCGAGCAUGGUAGGGGAGCGUCCUGUUCUGCAGUGAAGGUGUGGCUGUGAGGCCUACUGGAGCGGAUAGGAGUGAGAAUGCCGGUAUGAGUAGCGAGAGCACAGUGAGAAACUGUGCCGCCGAAAGCCCAAGGUUUCCUCCCCGACACAGGUGGGCAAGUGUAAGUGCACUUAGGCGAUCGGGAGAAAAAUGAUUAAGGAACUCGGCAAAAAAGCUGGGCGUAACCUUUGGGAGAUGCCCUGCCUCGAUUAAUCUCGAGGCUACAACAAAAGACUACUUAGCGACUGUUUAUCUAAAACACAGGUCCCUGCAAAAGCGAAAGCUGACGUAUAGGGGCUGACACCUGCCCAGUGCUGGUAAGUCAAAAGUAGAGAGUGAUGUUCCAAAAGAAUUAAGCUUUUUACUUAAGCUCCAGUAAACGGCAGCAGUAACUAUAACUGUUCUAUGGUAGCGAAGUUCCUUGUCGGGCGAGUUCCGACCCGCACGAAUGGUAGAACGACUGAGUAACUGUCUUAAUCAUUUACCCGGCGAAAUUGAGUUGGCUGUGAAGACGCGGCCUAGUUGUCCUUGGACAAGAAGACCCCGGGAGCUUUACUGUAUCUUGGCAUUUGAAAGUUUAUUUUGACUGUUUAGAAUAGGAGGGAGGGAGGUGCCGUCUGGUACCUCCCAAUAGUGAAAUACCUCUCUUCGGAAUAUGCAAUCAUUACCUUAUCGCCGCACAAAAAUCCGGCUAAGGGACAGUGUCUGGUGGGCAGUUUAACUGGGGAGGUUGACUCCUAAAUCGUAACGGAGUUGUACAAAGGUUGGCUAAUUACGGAUGGAAAUCGUAAUGAUAGUGCAAAGGCAUAAGCCAGCUUAACUGCGAGACCUACAAGUCGAGCAGAGACGAAAGUCGGUCUUAGUGAUCCUCCGUAGCCUAGUGGUAGGCUCGGAGCUUAACGGAUAAAAGCUACCCCGGGGAUAACAGGCUGAUCGCAUCCAAGCGUCCACAGCGACGAUGCGGUUUGGCACCUUAAAUAACAUUGGGGCGCCUAUAGAAGUAAUUCUAUAAGUCUGGUUAUUCUACAACGCGUUUAGAGAACGCGUAGAAAUAAUAAAAUCAACUAGUUAAUAUCGGUGGACUCCUUCGACUCGAACAGUCGCUCAGGACAAUACCGAGGGAAGGAGGUACCGUAUGGCACCUCCCCCGUAUCGACUUGUGUUUGGUUUCAAACGAACACGGAUGGAAGUCUCUGUCCGAAGUAACAUCGGACAAAUCUAUAGCUUCCAUAAUUAGACUAGCUCCUUUAAGUAAAGGAAACUCGAAGCACGAAUAUCGAAGCUCGAAACUUUUUCGAAUUUCGGUCUGGCUGUUCGCCAGUUAAAGCGGUACGCGAGCUGGGUUCAGAGCGUCGUAAGACAGCUCGGUCUCUAUCCAGGACAACCGUUGAUAUUUGAGGAGAGCCGUCCCUAGUACGAGAGGACUGGGAUGGAGGAAUCCUUUUCAAUUUACAUUGAAUUUUCAUUGUUUCAAUUUUUCAGAAUUUGACCAUUUGGAUUUGAUUAGAAAUUAGAAAUUAAGAAUUAGAAAUUCUCGCGCUGUGCGCGAGUGAGAUCCCUUCAAGACCAGGAGGUUGAUAGGCGGGCGGUGUAAGCAUAGUAAUAUGUUGAGCCUACCCGUACUAAUGAUCGAUAAG